rnacentral:sRNA from 1 species
ACUUUAAAAACAAAUCCCUCGUAUAUAAAUCAAACAAGUCCGCUGUAGCACACAGGCCAAUUUCACUACUCAAAAUGAAAUCCGGGAUCAAAUCCGGGCAGCGGAAUAUUUUUUG